AUUGAACGCUGGCGGCAUGCUUUACACAUGCAAGUCGAACGGUAACAGGCCGCAAGGUGCUGACGAGUGGCGAACGGGUGAGUAAUGCAUCGGAACGUGCCCAGUCGUGGGGGAUAACGCAGCGAAAGUUGCGCUAAUACCGCAUACGAUCUAUGGAUGAAAGCGGGGGACCGUAAGGCCUCGCGCGAUCGGAGCGGCCGAUGUCAGAUUAGGUAGUUGGUGGGGUAAAGGCUCACCAAGCCGACGAUCUGUAGCUGGUCUGAGAGGACGACCAGCCACACUGGGACUGAGACACGGCCCAGACUCCUACGGGAGGCAGCAGUGGGGAAUUUUGGACAAUGGGCGCAAGCCUGAUCCAGCAAUGCCGCGUGCAGGAAGAAGGCCUUCGGGUUGUAAACUGCUUUUGUACGGAACGAAACGGUCCUGGUUAAUACCCGGGGCUAAUGACGGUACCGUAAGAAUAAGCACCGGCUAACUACGUGCCAGCCGCCGCUGUAACAC
rnacentral:rRNA from 1 species